rnacentral:rRNA from 1 species
AGUUGACCUCGGAUCA